UAACAGCUCAAAUUUGAAAUCUGGCUCCUUUGGGGCCCCGAGUUGUAAUUUGUAGAAGAUGCUUUGGGUGUGGGCCUGGCCUAAGUUCCUUGGAACAGGACGUCGUAGAGGGUGAGAAUCCAAUAUGCGGCUGGCGCCCGCGCCCGUGUAAAGCUCUUUCGACGAGUCGAGUUGUUUGGGAAUGCAGCUCUAAAUGGGUGGUAAAUUUCAUCUAAAGCUAAAUAUUGGCCAGAGACCGAUAGCGCACAAGUAGAGUGAUCGAAAGAUGAAAAGCACUUUGGAAAGAGAGUUAAACAGUACGGGAAAUUGUUGAAAGGGCCCCGCUGGCAACCAGACUUGGGCGCUGUUGAUCCGUCAGGGUUCUCCCUGGGGCACUCGGCAGCGCGCAGGCCAGCAUCGGUUUGGGGGGUUGGAGAAAGACUGGUGGAAUGUGGCUGCCCUCGGGCAGUGUUAUAGCCACCGGUGGCAUGCAGCCCCCCCGGACCGAGGACCGCGCUUCGGCUAGGAUGCUGGCGUAAUGGUUGUCAGCGACCCG
rnacentral:rRNA from 1 species